rnacentral:hammerhead_ribozyme from 1 species
AUUCAGCCUAUGAGUCUCAAAUAGGACGAAACACGCGUCUCGGAU